rnacentral:rRNA from 1 species
CAGUCGCCGCGGUAAUACGUAGGUGGCAGGCGUUGUCCGGAAUUAUUGGGCGUAAAGGGCUCGCAGGCGGUUUCUUAAGUCUGAUGUGAAAGCCCCCGGCUCAACCGGGGAGGGUCAUUGGAAACUGGGAAACUUGAGUGCAGAAGAGGAGAGUGGAGUUCCACGUGUAGCGGUGAAAUGCGUAGAGAUGUGGAGGAACACCAGUGGCGAAGGCGACUCUCUGGUCUGUAACUGACGCUGAGGAGCGAAAGCGUGGGGAGCGAACAGGAUUAGAUACCCCAGUAGUCCCUGUCUCUUAUAC